AAACUGCAAGUCGAGCGACAGACGAGGAGCUCGCUCCUCUGACGUUAGCGGUAGACGAGUGAGUAGCACGUGGAUAACCUACCUAUAAGACUGGGAUAACUUCNAGAAACCGGAGCUAAUACCGGAUAAUAUAUUGAACCGCAUGGUUCAAUAAUGAAAGACGGUUUUGCUGUCACUUAUAGAUGGAUCCGCGCCGCAUUAGCUNAGUUGGUAAGGUAACGGCUUACCAAGGCAACCAUGCUUAGCCGACCUGAGAGGGUGAUCGGCCACACUGGAACUGAGACACGGUCCAGACUCCUACGGGAGGCAGCAGUAGGGAAUCUUCCGCAAUGGGCGAAAGCCUGACGGAGCAACGCCGCGUGAGUGAUGAAGGUCUUCCGAUCGUAAAACUCUGUUAUUAGGGAAGAACAAAUGUGUAAGUAACUAUGCACGUCUUGACGGUACCUAAUCAGAAAGCCACGGCUAACUACGUGCCAGCAGCCGCGGUAAUACGUAGGUGGCAAGCGUUAUCCGGAAUUAUUGGGCGUAAAGCGCGCGUAGGCGGUUUUUUAAGUCUGAUGUGAAAGCCCACGGCUCAACCGUGGAGGGUCAUUGGAAACUGGAAAACUUGAGUGCAGAAGAGGAAAGUGGAAUUCCAUGUGUAGCGGUGAAAUGCGCAGAGAUAUGGAGGAACACCAGUGGCGAAGGCGACUUUCUGGUCUGUAACUGACGCUGAUGUGCGAAAGCGUGGGGAUCAAACAGGAUUAGAUACCCUGGUAGUCCACGCCGUAAACGAUGAGUGCUAAGUGUUAGGGGGUUUCCGCCCCUUAGUGCUGCAGCUAACGCAUUAAGCACUCCGCCUGGGGAGUACGACCGCAAGGUUGAAACUCAAAGGAAUUGACGGGUACCCGCACAAGCGGUGGAGCAUGUGGCUUAAUUCGAAGCAACUCUCAAAAACCUUACCAAAUCUUGACAUCCUCUGACCCCUCUAGAGAAAGAGUUUUCCCCUUCGGGGGACCGAGUGACAGGNGGUGCA
rnacentral:rRNA from 1 species